ensembl:rRNA 5S_rRNA 5S ribosomal RNA
UCUUAUGACCACACCGGCCUGAGUACGCCUGAUCUCGUCUGAUCUCGGAAGUUAAGCAGGGUCGGGCCUGAUUAGUACUUGGAUGGGAGACCGCCUGGGAAUACCAGGUGCUGUAAGCU